GCCUCCAAGGAGCCUGGAGGGAAAAGGGAAGAAGGUCCGGAUUGGCGCCCGGGUCCUCCGACCCCCGGAAAUGCUACCCAGGCCGGAAGGAGAGGGGCCGAAUAAUACAGCGGAGCCGGGGAGCCGUGGCGCCCGUGUGGGUCCGAGAGGGUGAGACGGAAAGGCCGCUCGUCUCCCGUCUGUUAAGAUUUAUAAAGACGAGGCCGGAGACAGAUCUCCCCGCAGAGCUGAUGCCGGGCUCUAUGGGCUGACUUUCCGAGGGAGACAAAGCUCACGGGGACGAGUAGUUGUGGAUCUGAGACGGGCAAGAGGGUCCCGGCUCCCAGACGCGGCCCAGACUGCUCCCGCCUCACCCCUGCCGGGGACGCCCAGGAGAUCCCCGGGUGUGGUUCUCAAAGCCAAAGCCCACGGAACCCUCCUGACGUGAUGGGGGCGGGGGGUACUGACCCCUGAAGGCUCUGCCACCGGCUGACAUAAACCCCCCAGAACUCUUGUCUUUGCACCAAAGGCCAACCCCCGGGCAGCUGUGUGAAUCACUGCCCUGGGUUAGGCUUUGAAGGGUCCUCUGUCCGUUGCUAGGGUGACAAGUCCUGGGCUGCCUCGCCCGGGACUCACGGGCAGCACACCCCCCCAGAAGGACAGGCUGCUCCUACCUCCUCCCGGAGCCAUGAGGCCGCUCCGAGGCUCCGUCAUGGACCCCAGACUCGCGGGUCUGUAGGAUCUGUAGUGAUGCUUCUAUUUCAUUCCUGGUGUGGUUCACUGUACCCUGGAAUGGCUGAGCACUCCGCAAACAAGAAGAUUGUAUGCAGAUGUCUGCGGCUCCUUUUCUGGAAAGCUCCCUCCCAUCUGGAACUCUGCCCUGUGACUUCAUGUGGCCCCAGCCUCCCUGAACUCUGACCGCUCUCUCUUCAACUCAUGAGGCCACUGGACUCUGUUUCUGUUGCCUCUCCCGUGUCAAGGGUUUAAAAAAUGCCCGUAGGCAGGAAGCUGGGCAAUCAUGAGACUUCUCUCUUUUGUUUUUCUAUUAUUAGGGAUCGCAGCACUGUGCUAUUUAUUGUCCAGUGUCUGGGAACAGUUGUCUAAUCUACUUUGUGCCAUUUUCAAAUUGUUUGCAGUGAAAGGGGAAGUCUGGGCCUUCUUUUCCUUCAUGGUCAGAGGUAGAAGUCCUUAUUUUUUUUUUUAACUUCCUUUAUUUCAAUCGUUAUUUCCCCCUUGUCGUUUAUAUGUUUAUAGUUGUGUUUCUCCCUUUUUCUCUUGAAUAGAGUUGUCUGCUUUAUUGUGGGUUUUUCCAUGAACGAGUUGAAUUUAUUGUGUCUGUUAUUUUUUAAAUUUGUAACUCCUUAAUUACUGCUUUUCUCUAUUAUUCCUUUCUUCUGCUUUCUUUUGGUUUGCUUUUCGAAAACUUCUUAAUUUAGACUUUCAACUUGUUAUUGUUUCUAAUUAAAAUUUCUUUUUUUCCCUGAGGCUAGGACUUUACUUCGCGCAAUGAGCCCAUCACAAAUAAAUUUACGCCAGCCGAAUGAUGCUUUUUGUGAAAUUCAAAAACCAGUGUCGUGCAGUCCUUAAAACCCCAAUGAAGUAUCACCUCACAGUUAUUAGAAUGGCUGUUAGCAAAGAGACAGGAAAUAACAAGUGUUGGCAAGGAUGUUGAGAAAAGGAAACUUGUGCACGCUGGUGGGAAUGUUAAUUGGUGCAGCCACCGUGAAAACCAGUAUGAGGGUUCCUCAAAAAAGUAAGACUGGAACUACCACAUGGUCCAGAAAUUCCACUUCUGGAUAUUUACCUGAUGGAAAAAAAAUAUUAACUCAAAAAGAUGUGCGCACCACCAUGAUCAUUGUUCAGUAUGGUAUUGUUUACAGAAGGCAAAACAUGGAAGCAACCUAAGUGUCCACUGAUGAAUGAUGAUGAAUGAAUGGAAAAGAAA